UGGGGAAUAUUGGACAAUGGGGGAGGACCCUGAUCCAGCCAUGCCGCGUGUGUGAAGAAGGCCUUAUGGUUGUAAAGCACUUUAAGCGAGGAGGAGGCUCUUUUGGUUAAUACCCAAGAUGAGUGGACGUUACUCGCAGAAUAAGCACCGGCUAACUCUGUGCCAGCAGCCGCGGUAAUACAGAGGGUGCGAGCGUUAAUCGGAUUUACUGGGCGUAAAGCGUGCGUAGGCGGCUUUUUAAGUCGGAUGUGAAAUCCCCGAGCUUAACUUGGGAAUUGCAUUCGAUACUGGGAAGCUAGAGUAUGGGAGAGGAUGGUAGAAUUCCAGGUGUAGCGGUGAAAUGCGUAGAGAUCUGGAGGAAUACCGAUGGCGAAGGCAGCCAUCUGGCCUAAUACUGACGCUGAGGUACG
rnacentral:rRNA from 1 species